CCUACGGGGGGCUGCAGUGGGGAAUAUUGGACAAUAGGGGGAACCCUGAUCCAGCCAUGCCGCGUGUGUGAAGAAGGCCCUCGGGUUGUAAAGCACUUUCAGUGAGGAAGAACGCCUGGUGGUUAAUACCCAUCAGGAAAGACAUCACUCACAGAAGAAGCACCGGCUAACUCCGUGCCAGCAGCCGCGGUAAUACGGAGGGUGCGAGCGUUAAUCGGAAUUACUGGGCGUAAAGCGCGCGUAGGUGGCUUGAUAAGCCGGUUGUGAAAGCCCCGGGCUCAACCUGGGAACGGCAUCCGGAACUGUCAAGCUAGAGUGCAGGAGAGGAAGGUAGAAUUCCCGGUGUAGCGGUGAAAUGCGUAGAGAUCGGGAGGAAUACCAGUGGCGAAGGCGGCCUUCUGGACUGACACUGACACUGAGGUGCGAAAGCGUGGGUAGCAAACAGGAUUAGAUACCCGUGUAGUC
rnacentral:rRNA from 1 species